rnacentral:rRNA from 1 species
UACAGAGGGUGCGAGCGUUAAUCGGAAUUACUGGGCGUAAAGCGCGCGUAGGCGGCUUUUCAAGUCGAUUGUGAAAUCCCCGGGCUUAACCUGGGAACUGCAGUCGAGACUGUCUAGCUAGAGUAUGGGAGAGGGAAGUGGAAUUUCAGGUGUAGCGGUGAAAUGCGUAGAUAUCAGGAGGAACACCGGUGGCGAAGGCGGAUCUCUGGGCCUUACCUGACGCUCAGGUGCGAAAGCUAGGGGAGCGAACAGG